UGCCUGCUACAUUAGCAGACAAUUUACCAUAGGUAAUACAGUAGGUAUUUGAGUUUUCAACGAAACAAUAGGCAAAUACCUUCGUGGUUGUGCGGUCCUGGCACAGUGGCUGUCGCCAUACCUUCGUAGAUAGUUACCUCGUGUUCGAUUCCCACCACCCCCAACAAUCCUUGCCUUCCUUAAAAAAAAAAAAAAAAAAAUAUCAACUCAACAAAAAACAAUAAUCACUCGUGCGUAAGGGAUUGCUAGGCAAACCCGUGAAUCUGGUGCAGAUACACCAGUCGCACUUAAAGCUAAAUCACAAUUACCUUCGUGAUGCAAGAUAUUUUUCAAGUAACUACCACUGGUUACGUUCUGGAAUGGUGUGUGGAAGCCAAUUAGGAAUUGUUGGCCUUCAAUGAAUGUUCAGGAUAAGAAAAGAAAAAAUAUGAAUUGGAGAAUGUUUUAUGUAAAAGUAAAAUAUUCUGAAAAUUAUAACAGCUGUGAUAUUCAUAAUUUCAUUUCCACACAUCCUGUGACACUAAAUGUGUAAAUAGUUAACAUGGGAAAAAUCACCUGUGCUCAAGUAUAUGACCUGCUGUCUGGCCAGUGGAGUUUCAGGUGCAAUUAGUUACUUGUUUAAUGCUUUGGUGAUACUAUACACUUAACUGCAUACAACAAGUAUUUUUAUGCCUUCAGGUGACUUGUGGAAUUGCAUAGUAAUAGAGCUGUCAUAGUAACUUGAAUACCUUAGUAUUUGUUUUUCAUUUGUUUGUUUUAUGUUUUAAAAAACGAUUAACUUAAUGAAAAAAAUAGCAAUUUUCCCGGAA